rnacentral:rRNA from 1 species
CAUGGUUGUCGUCAGCUCGUGUCGUGAGAUGUUGGUUAAGUCCCGCAACGAGCGCAACCCCUAUUGUUAGUUGCCAUCAUUCAGUUGGGCACUCUAGCGAGACUGCCGGUAAUAAACCGGAGGAAGGUGGGGAUGACGUCAAAUCAUCAUGCCCCUUAUGACCUGGGCUACACACGUGCUACAAUGGUUGGUACAACGAGUUGCGAGUCGGUGACGGCGAGCUAAUCUCUUAAAGCCAAUCUCAGUUCGGAUUGUAGGCUGCAACUCGCCUACAUGAAGUCGGAAUCGCUAGUAAUCGCGGAUCAGCACGCCGCGGUCGAAUACGUUCCCGGGCCUU